rnacentral:rRNA from 1 species
UACGUAGGGUGCGAGCGUUGCCCGGAUUUAUUGGGCGUAAAGGGCGCGCAGGCGGCCACGCGCGUCCGUUGUGAAAUCGCUCGGCUCAACUGGGCGAGGUCAGCGGAUACGGCGUGGCUGGAGCAAGCUAGGGGGCAAUGGAAUUCCCGGUGUAGUGGUGGAAUGCGUAGAUAUCGGGAGGAACACCAGUGGCGAAGGCGGUUGCCUGGAGCUUUGCUGACGCUGAGGCGCGAAAGCGUGGGGAGCAAACAGG